UGCGAGCAGUUUGCUUCGUGCGAGCCAUUUUCUUUUGGAUAUAUGAAAAUUAUUGAUUGACAAAAUUUAGAGCUGCAGAGAACGAUGAUUCUGCCCUUUUGCUAGAGGCGACCCAGGAUCACCAGAGAGAUGAAUGAGACAAGUAAAGGUACCGUACGGGCUUUAUAUACAGAGAGAAAUUAGUUACAUGCGAACGCGGACUUGAAGUCUUCAACGGUGUAGUGAAGGAAUCAGGAUUUUGAAAAGUCUAUUAAGCUGAGUUGUAGGUCGAUGAUUGGUUGAUUUUUUUCAUAACGGAUUGCCAGCGACGCCUACCUGUGUUUCUUUCAGAAAGGUAACCGACCAACUCGUGGCAGCACAAACCCGCCAUGUAAACUCGGUUUUCCCU
rnacentral:misc_RNA from 1 species